AUGGUUGGUAUGAUAGCGAUGAAGCAUGUGCUUGCUAUGAUAGUGAUGAACCAUGUACAUGUAUGCUUCUGCUUUCAUGGAUUGUCCUUAGUGCUUGUUGAGACAACUACUGCUGCUGUCGCCGCUGCCGUUGUACUCAAGCUAGCAGCAACAAAGGCAAAUAAGGAUGGUAGGUCGAACAACAUGAAGUGGCAGCCAUUCAUGUCCACGUUCGUGCUGAAAAAGAUGUGUGAGCUCAUCUCUAGUGGAGUUACGACUGACAAGGGCUUCAAGGAGGUGCACUUGAACACCGUUGCGAAGUAG
rnacentral:rRNA from 1 species